UGCCCCAUGGCUGAGUUGGUUACAGCGUCCGACUGUUAUAACCCUAAUGGUUUCGCCAUCGGAAGGUCGUGAGUUCGAGCCUCACUGGGGCAG